UACGUAGGGUGCAAGCGUUGUCCGGAAUUAUUGGGCGUAAAGAGCUCGUAGGCGGUUUGUCGCGUCUGCUGUGAAAACCCGAGGCUCAACCUCGGGCCUGCAGUGGGUACGGGCAGACUAGAGUGCGGUAGGGGAGAUUGGAAUUCCUGGUGUAGCGGUGGAAUGCGCAGAUAUCAGGAGGAACACCGAUGGCGAAGGCAGGUCUCUGGGCCACUACUGACGCUGAGAAGCGAAAGCGUGGGGAGCGAACAGG
rnacentral:rRNA from 1 species